rnacentral:snRNA from 1 species
AGCUUUGCGCGGUGGCAGUAUCGUAGCCAAUGAGGUUUAUCCGAGGCGCGAUUAUUGCUAAUUGAAAACUAAUUUGCUGCCAUACAGUCUGUCAUAAGUUCUCAAUUUUGCCAUUGUAGUGAGGAAGUUGCCACACAUAAUAUGUAAAGGAAUGAACUUAGCUAUUAGUUAAAAUUUUAUUUAUGAA